UACAGAGGUCUCAAGCGUUGUUCGGAUUCAUUGGGCGUAAAGGGUGCGUAGGUGGCGCGGUAAGUCGGGUGUGAAAUCUUGGAGCUUAACUCCGAAACUGCAUUCGAUACUGCCGUGCUUGAGGACUGGAGAGGAGACUGGAAUUUACGGUGUAGCGGUGAAAUGCGUAGAUAUCGUAAGGAAGACCAGUGGCGAAGGCGGGUCUCUGGACAGUUCCUGACGCUGAAGCACGAAGGCCAGGGGAGCAAACGGG
rnacentral:rRNA from 1 species